rnacentral:rRNA from 1 species
UACGGGGGGAGCAAGCGUUGUUCGGAUUUACUGGGCGUAAAGGGCGCGUAGGCGGCCACCGCAAGUCGACUGUGAAAUCUCCGGGCUUAACCCGGAAAGGUCAGCCGAUACUGCGGGGCUAGAGUGCAGAAGGGGCAACUGGAAUUCUCGGUGUAGCGGUGAAAUGCGUAGAUAUCAUUUGGAACGCCAAUGGUGAAAACAGGUUGCUGGGGCUGAUGCUGACGCUGAGACACGAAAGCUAGGGGGAGCAAACGGG